rnacentral:rRNA from 1 species
AGAGUUUGAUCAUGGCUCAGGAUGAACGCUAGCGGCAGGCUUAAUACAUGCAAGUCGUGGGGCAGCAUGGCGUGUAGCAAUACACGCUGAUGGCGACCGGCAAAUGGGUGCGGAACACGUACGCAAUCUACCCAUAACUGGGGCAUAGCCCGGGGAAACCCGGAUUAAUACCUCGUAACAUCAUAGAGUGGCAUCACUUUUUGAUUAUAGCUCCGGCGGUUAUGGAUGAGCGUGCGGCUGAUUAGGUAGUUGGCAGGGUAACGGCCUACCAAGCCUACGAUCAGUAACUGGUGUGAGAGCACGACCAGUCACACGGGCACUGAGACACGGGCCCGACUCCUACGGGAGGCAGCAGUAAGGAAUAUUGGGCAAUGGACGCAAGUCUGACCCAGCCAUGCCGCGUGGAGGAUGAAGGCCCUCUGGGUUGUAAACUUCUUUUAUCUGGGACGAAACCCCUGUUUUCUAACGGGAUUGACGGUACCAGAGGAAUAAGCACCGGCUAACUCCGUGCCAGCAGCCGCGGUAAUACGGAGGGUGCAAGCGUUAUCCGGAUUCACUGGGUUUAAAGGGUGCGUAGGCGGGUAAGUAAGUCAGUGGUGAAAUCUCCAAGCUUAACUUGGAAACUGCCGUUGAUACUAUUUAUCUUGAAUAUCGUGGAGGUAAGCGGAAUAUGUCAUGUAGCGGUGAAAUGCUUAGAUAUGACAUAGAACACCAAUUGCGAAGGCAGCUUACUACGCGGUCAUUGACGCUGAGGCACGAAAGCGUGGGGAGCAAACAGGAUUAGAUACCCUCGUAGUCC